rnacentral:rRNA from 1 species
CCGUCCUAUGGUCAACACUUGCUACAUGGCCGUACAAGAGAACCCACCUCGCGAGAGCAAGCGGACCUCAUAAAGUCGUCGUAGUCCGGAUUGGAGUCUGCAACUCGACUCCAUGAAGUCGGAAUCGCUAGUAAUCGUGGAUCAGAAUGCCACGGUGAAUACGUUCCCGGGCCUUGUACACACCGCCCGUCACACCAUGGGAGUGGGUUGCACCAGAAGUAGGUAGCUUAACCUUCGGGAGGGCGCUUACCACUGUGUGAUUCAUGACUGGGGUGAAGUCGUAACAAGGUAACCGUAGGGGAACCUGCGGUUGAAUCACCUCCUUA